GUCUAUGGCCAUGCCAUCCAGAACAAGCCCAAUCCCGUCCCAUCUCAGAAGCUAAGCAGGGUCGGGCCUGGUUAGUACUUGGAUGGGAGACCACCUAGAAAGACCAGAUACUGUAGGUG
rnacentral:rRNA from 1 species